GAUGAACGCUGGCGGCGUGCCUAAUACAUGCAAGUCGAGCGGACAGACGAGGAGCUUGCUGCUCUCACGUUAGCGGAGCACGGGUGAGUAACACGUGGAUACCCUACCUAUAAGACUGGGAUAACUUCGGGAAACCGGAGCAAAUACCGGAUAAUAUAUUGCACCGCAGGGUUCAAUAGUGAAAGACGGUUUUGCUGUCACUUAUAGAUGCAUCCGCGCCGCUUUAGCUGGUAGGUACGGUCAAGGCUUACCAAGGCAACCAUGCGUAGCCGACGUGAGAGGCGGAUCGGCCACACUGGAGCGUGGCCGCGGACCAUGCGCCUACGGGAGGCACCAGUAGCGUACGUUCCGCAGUGGGCGAGAGCAUUGCGCAGUAACGCCGCGUGUGUGAUGACGGUCUCCGGAUCGUAAUACUCUGUUACGAGUUAAGAACAAAUUUGUAAGUAACUAUGCACGUCUUGACGGUACCUAAUCAGAAAGCACCGGCUAACUACGUG
rnacentral:rRNA from 1 species